rnacentral:rRNA from 1 species
UCGGGAAUUUUGGGCAAUGGGCGAAAGCCUGACCCAGCAACGCCGCGUGAAGGAUGAAGUAUUUCGGUAUGUAAACUUCGAAAGAAUAGGAAGAAUAAAUGACGGUACUAUUUAUAAGGUCCGGCUAACUACGUGCCAGCAGCCGCGGUAAUACGUAGGGACCAAGCGUUGUUCGGAUUUACUGGGCGUAAAGGGCGCGUAGGCGGCAAUUCAAGUCAUCUGUGAAAUCUCCGGGCUUAACUCGGAACGGUCAGAUGAUACUGCUUUGCUAGAGUGCAGAAGGGGCAAUCGGAAUUCUUGGUGUAGCGGUGAAAUGCGUAGAUAUCAAGAGGAACACCUGAGGUGAAGACGGGUUGCUGGGCUGACACUGACGCUGAGGCGCGAAAGCCAGGGGAGCAAACGGGAUUAGAUACCCGAGUAGUCCCUGAGCGGGCUAGGCAAGGCGCAU